ACCGUUGUCAGUUGGUCCAAGUGUCCAGGUCUGAGGCAUCCGCCCAAACCCUCCCACUUCUGGCCCCUCAAACUGGAAGAACAUUCAUCAUGCAUUUUGUGUCCAAGGCUCAAAAGUUUGUUACCCAAGAUGAUGAGUGCUGACAUGGAUGCAGUUGAUGCUGAAAAUCAGGUGGAACUAGAGGAAAACAACACGACUUAUUAAUCAAGUGUGGAAAUUCCAACUCAUACUUGAAGAUCUCUCUGCAAGAGCAAACACAGGUAAGGAAGAAAAUCUGAAGCUAAAAUCAGAAAACCAAGUUGUUGGACAACAUAUAGAAAAUCUCAUGUCAGCUUCUGGUGUUUUUCAAACAACUGACACCGAAAGCAAAAGA
rnacentral:lncRNA from 1 species